UAUGACGUCAUCAAACUCAAUGCACGAUCUUAUAGGGUAAUUUCCUGUGACGCAGACUACGAUGUACACACAUGUUUAAAGACUGAUGCCCCACGCGUCUGAUGUAGUAAUGACAUAUGACCUGGUGGCAGAGAAAGUAAUACAAGCCAAGUUGACGUACUGGCUCCACGCUUUGGCGGCUAUUGCUGCUGCAAUGACGUUCUCCAGUAGCAGGUGCCAGCCUACUACAAAGCCACAAAGCUCACCGAGCGCGACAUACGUGUAGAAG